CCCCAUUCACACACACGCCGUGGUUGGAGCACGUGGGAUCCAAGCAAUCCACUGCAGAAGAAAGCAAGAACAACGUGGGAAACGGAGUCUAAGGAAUCCAAGGCAUCUGGCCCAAAUCCACCACAGCCAUUCUAGACAACUUAAAGCAGAGAGAGAAUUCCAUGGAAGUAGCUGGAAAUUACCAUCAGGGUGAGGGAGGAGCUGCUUGCAAGACUGGACGUGGUCCCUACCCAGAGAAAUGGAAAAAAUAACAGAAGAAUAACAGAAAAUGGGAGGAAUUAAGUGAAUCUUGGAGAAAAGGUACAGUUCUGUGCUCUUC